rnacentral:lncRNA from 1 species
GUAACGGAAGGCUCGCACUCUUGUCUUCCGGUCGCUUCUCACUAUGUCCCUUCAGCUCCUAUCUCGGCCACGGCGUAUGCCUCCGAGGACGGGGUCCUGACCGAGGCCAUGAUGGACACCCGCGUGCAAGAUGCUGUCCAGCAGCACCAGCAGAUGAUGCGCUGGCUGAAGAGGGGGAGGCCUGGGCCCGAGGACGAGCAACCCUCAUCCUGAGUCCAUGGGGAGACCACACCUCACGGAGCCUGGCCGCGGACCCCUCCCACCCCUGCCUUUGCGGCCCCGCACAUUUAGGAAAUACUCCCCGUAAUAAAGUCCCACGGGGGCCGCA